rnacentral:tRNA from 1 species
GUUAGGGUGGCAGAGCCCGGCAAAUGCAAAAGACCUAAGCUCUUUCAACAGGGGUUCAAAUCCCCUCUCUGACU